GAGGGACGGGGCCAGGCGCGGGGCGGGGCUCUGCCCGGCGGGGUUCACGCCCCGGUCCAGCGACCUCUGGCCUCCCGCCCUGUCCCACCUGGAUCUCGCCCGCGCCGGAGAUAGCAUCUGCGCGCCCCGGGUCACAGCGGGCCCCGGACGGAGCCGGCACUGGGCCAGAGCCGUCCGCCCCAUUCCGGUUCCGGAGGGCCGCUUACCUGGCGGGCCCUGUGUGGACGCGGGGAAGGACGGAAGAAGGAAAGACAGGAAACUCACUCCAAAAACAAUUCUUAAAAGGGUCUUAAAAGUCAAGAAGCCUGUACACUGGGCGCUGGGCCAGUGCCUUUCACCUGUAAAGUGCCCCUCCUACUAACCCUGUCUGCAGGAAGUGCUCUGCUCUGCCCGAGCUGAUCGCAGCUUCGAACACAGGAACAAUUCUUCUGCUGUGAUGUAAGUCAGUAAACCUACAGCUUACUCUGUGGGUGGAGUGAGUGCCCAUGUCUGCUUUGGGUAACUCCUGGGACCAAGGUGGACUGACCUCAGAGCAGGAGCAGUGUCGCCCUGGUGCUUGCUGGAGUGUGGAUGGCACCAGCCUUCAGGAAGGAGGCAGGUGAAGAAAGUGCAAGGAACACAAGCACCAGACAAUAGGACGAUCAUGGUCCCUUUCUGUCCUCUGGGCCAGCUGUAAGGGAGUAGAACAGCUGGUUGCUAGGGUGGUUUGGGGUUGAUGGCUCAACAUCCCUCAGAGACUUGAGGAUCUGGCAACUGUGCAUGUGCUGGCUCUUCAAAGGGGUGGCGAUAAGGGCAAUAAGGCAAAUGCUGAGAGUGAGCAGGGCAGUGACAGCAACCCAGUCUCAAGUCACCUGUAGAGCUCAGGCCAGCAGUGCUGGAACCCUGGACCAGCUUCUGCCCCUCCAUGUCUCUUUGAUACUUGCCAAGUGACUGCAAGAGGAGACACUGCAGGUGUCAGUAGGCUGGGCUGCAGGGCACCACUCAGGCCACACUGAAAACAGGAGUAGGCGUCCUUCCGCGUCAUGCUGCUUCUGCUGGUCUUUUGGUGGCUUGUAGGAACCUCACCCAGCCAACAGUAUCUUGGCAGGUGUCAAGCACGCCAAGCUCCAGCUAAGCUUCUUUUUACAGUAUUCAUGGGAUCAUACCAUGCAUAUUUCACUGGGGUAAAAUACUCAUGUAGAUAAAUAGCCAGACAAUUUUAAAAAUUUAUGGGUCCUUCAAAGAAAACAUAAAAAUGAAUAAUAAUAUUUAAUAAGGCAAUUUGGUGUUUUAAAAGGUCUUGGCCUACAGGCUCUCCCUCCUUCCUAGUUAGGGAAAGGGUCCAAGAUCAAGGAGAGUAGAUGGAGGAGGCAAAGCCUGGCACAUCACUCUGGGGAAAACUCUAUAUAAAGAUGGCCAUAAAGCCCUUGGCAAAAUGACAGAGACCCAUUUCACUGAACACCAUGUCAAGGCAUCAUUUGACAAGUGAUGAUCAAAGUCUCACCGUGUCUCUGGCAUUUCCGAGAACAUCACGAAGCACUUACCUCUUUUUCUCACUGGAUGCCAGUCAACCAGAGUGCAGGGAGCUUGGUCUCAUAGCCUCUCACACUGCAACAAAGAGCAAGCAACUUUGUGUAUGUCAGAUAUUCAAUAAAUAUUUCUUGAGUUAAACUCCAAGUUGCCCGAGCUAAUGGAAGUAAAUUAACCUAAGUAAUUUCCUAUAGGUUUAAAACUGUGUGCUGGGAGUUUGCUUUAUUUUUCUCAUCAACAGAUUUAUCUUUGUAAUUAUACUUUGUUUGCACAAGGCCUAAAAUUCAUUUGUAUCCCUGGUCUGUAAUUAACAGUUUGCUAGUGGUAGCCACAAAGCAGAUAACGCACUGGUGCGGGAAGGUUGGUUGUUUCGCUCUAUGUUCAGUUACUAACUCGGUGGAUUCUGCUCUGUUCACACCGGAUGCGUGAACAUUAGGUGAGUGGAUUUCAGAAAGUGCAGCAAAGCCUUAUGUGAACAAGGCCAACACUUGACUGCAGACCACAGCCAUACACAGACUCACACACAGUCAAAGCCACUUGUCACUUCACUUCUAGCAAAAAAGAGGAAAAAAGGAGAUUUGAGGACUGGUUAUGU